CCUCUGAUUGACUUUGAGGAUUAUCGUAUCAGUAGUUCACCUUUGUACGCCGACGAGUAAGCAUCAAAAUUCUCUCAAGGCAAUAUUUUUCUGCAAGUAUCAACGUAGACCUCAAACGCUCUGUUUCCUGUCAAUACAUAUCUACCAGCUUGAAAUGGAUUACGUUUUAUUACUCCAAUAGUAGAUUCUGGCCCUCAGGUUGAAACAAGAACAACAACCACGGAAGUAACAACAACUCUGUUUUACCUUUCACUGGUUAUCCAACUAUGAGGAAAUUGUAAUGAUAAUCAACGGCAUGUAGUCGCGUAAGUGACCUAACUGACUACCGAACUGAUCAAUUUGUGAAUUGUUUAUUAAUGCUUAAUUAAGAAAAGAAGAAAAAGAGUGAGAGCGAUAUAGAGAGAGAGAGAGAGAGAGAGAAAAAAAAGAAAAUGAUCAUUUUCUUCCUCCUUCCUUUUUCUUAUUAUUAUCCAUCAACGACUAUAUCACCAAUCGGAAAUACCGCAGAAACUUUCUAGCAGAAAUCGUGCCGAAGGAACACGGCGACCGAAACGAACAGAGAAAAUGAAGGGAUGUUGUACGUGCGCUGCCGCGAAGGAAGAUCGAGAGAGAUGGAGAAAUAUGAGCCAAUGAUGCAACGACGAUGCGCCUUUCUGCGAUUCAUUCGAGUAUCUCGAAAAUGUCGACGUUAAUUUCUUCUAAGAUUGAUCGCUGUCCUAGUAAUUGAAAACCACCGAGAAAUCUUUCCUCGUUCUUCAUCGUAAGAUAUUAUUUAAGACAGAAAAAAGAAAAAAGGAAAACAGAAAAAAGAAAGAAGAAAAAAGAAAUUCAAAAAUUAUUGUUCGUAAUAUAAUAUUAUAAAAACAUAGUUGGAUAUUCUCUGCGUAGAAUGAUUUCUGUAGAACGAUUUUCGAUGUUACGAAAUGAAAUACAAAAUGAUAGAUAUUUAUUCAUGAUUAAAUAUAUAAUUUGACCGGAAUGAAAAUUGCUUGAUCGAAAAGUCAGAUAUAAUAUUAUUUGUAACAGGUUCAUUUUAGAACGAAAGGAUGGAUAUGGUAUGUCCGACGUAUUAUGAUUAAUUUUUUAGAGGCAAGUCUCGCCUCUACAAUAGUUAGGUAUAUAUAUAUAUAUAUGUAUAUAUAUAUAUUUGGAGUCAGUAAAACGGUACGUUCAAAGAAAAAAAGUAGGAGGGGUAUGACAAGGAAAAGAAUGAGAAGUACGUGGGUGGUGCACGGCUUGGAGAAACGAUCUACUCAAGAGGAAAGCAAGAGAGAGAGAGAGAGAGAGAGAGUCCACAUAUUCAUGAAAGCAACGUUUUAUAUUAUCUCCGGUAUAUUUCCGUGUGUCAAGAAGAACCGGUGCAACCGUAGCUACCCCUAGACCCCACAUGACGUCUCUUCUUUCCUCAUUUCAACACCCCUUUUCUCUUCAAUUCCCUUUCCUCGUACCCUCUCCACAUCCACGAGUCUUUCGCCGGACACGCGGAUACGGAGUGGUUCCAUGAAUUUUCGAUAAUCCAAAUUGGAUUCUCCUAUUGGCGGCACCGGUCCACCGUUCUCUUUUCUUUCCCAUUGUUUCUUCCUUUUGUUUUUUUCUCCAUCCUUUUUCCCUUUCUCUCUCUCUCUCUCUCUCUCUCUCUCUCUCUCCCUUUUUCCCUAUUUCUCUUACCAUUCUUUUCUUUCUCUACGUUUCUCUCGCUGGUAUCACAUGAAAUUGUUUUUCCCGUAGAAAGUUACGAAUUCGUGUGCUCGGGGAAAAAGAGGAAAAUUGGGGGUUGCUGCUACCGUUCUUGCCAUUUUCUCUCUCUCUCUCUCUCUCUCUCUGUUUCUCUCUCUCUUUCUACCUUUCUUUAUCUCUUAUGCUCUCAUUCUUCCAUGCUCGCUCAUCCCUAUUUGCCUUUCUCUCUUCGACUUCUUCCAUUAUUUUUGUUCUUUUUUUCUUUUUUUUCUUUUUUUCACCUUCUUUCUUUCCCUUUCGUAUAGGAAAUUCGUCGUUCGUAGAUGCGGAAAAUACGGAUUCCGGAAUCGUUCCGAUAAGUCGGAACAGGAAUGCGAACACGUAAGAAACAUAAACCACUAAGAAAGUGAAUAAAGAAAGAGGCGGUUUACGUGGUCAAGAGAAUGUACGCCUAUCUAUAUGUUAUCUAUCUAUGUGGGUGAUUGGAAUUCGUUGAAAUUGAAAAGUAAUUCGGGUACAAUGAUUUGUAUACGAGCCAUACACCAGAGUGUUUUUUACAUCCACUUUUUUCGUAAUUCAAUUGUUGUUUGUCAUUAAAAAAGAAAAGGUAAACGAAAGA